rnacentral:misc_RNA from 1 species
GGGGCGUUUGAAAAUGGUAGAAUAGCCUAUAACCUCAGCCCGGUCUUGAAGUUUUUCAGACAGCCUGUCUGUCCGGCCCAAAAUUACCGACCCGAGCAACCAUCGAAUUUCCACAAAACGAGAGUACCUACACGAAGCUCACAACACCAAGAGUUAGAAAAAAAUAUUUACGGAGUUAUUUAAGCUCAAUUGAAGCUCAG